CGGGGGAGCAAGCGUUGUUCGGAUUUACUGGGCGUAAAGGGCGCGUAGGCGGCCACCGCAAGUCGACUGUGAAAUCUCCGGGCUUAACCCGGAAAGGUCAGCCGAUACUGCGGGGCUAGAGUGCAGAAGGGGCAACUGGAAUUCUCGGUGUAGCGGUGAAAUGCGUAGAUAUCGAGAGGAACACCUGCGGCGAAGGCGGGUUGCUGGGCUGACACUGACGCUGAUGCGCGAAAGCUAGGGGAGCGAACGGGAUUAGAUACCCCGGUAGUCCUAGCCUUAAACGAUGAAUGCUUGGUGUCUGGGGUUUUAUAGUCCCCGGGUGCCGUCGCUAACGCUUUAAGCAUUCCGCCUGGGGGGUACGGUCGCAAGACUG
rnacentral:rRNA from 1 species